rnacentral:rRNA from 1 species
AACGAAUGCUGGCGGCAGGCUUAACACAUGCGAGUCGAGCGCCCCGCAAGGGGAGCGGCAGACGGGUGAGUAACGCGUGGGAACGUACCUUUUGGUUCGGAACAACUCCGGGAAACUGGAGCUAAUACCGGAUAAGCCCUAACGGGGAAAGAUUUAUCGCCGAAAGAUCGGCCCGCGUCUGAUUAGCUAGUUGGUGAGGUAACGGCUCACCAAGGCGACGAUCAGUAGCUGGUCUGAGAGGAUGAUCAGCCACACUGGGACUGAGACACGGCCCAGACUCCUACGGGAGGCAGCAGUGGGGAAUAUUGGACAAUGGGCGCAAGCCUGAUCCAGCCAUGCCGCGUGAGUGAUGAAGGCCUUAGGGUUGUAAAGCUCUUUUGUCCGGGAAGAUAAUGACUGUACCGGAAGAAUAAGCCCCGGCUAACUUCGUG